AGAGGUGAGUCAGCACCGACAGGAGCAGCCCGCCAGACUCCUCUGUCCAUGGAAUUCUCCAGGCAAGAAUACUGAAGUGGGCAGCCAUUCCCUCCUUCAGGGGAUCUUCUUGACCCAAGAAUUGAACCUGGAUCUCCUACACUACAGGCAGAUUCUUUACCAUCUGAGUCAUAGCAGGAUGUAUCUGACCUGUGGUGCCCUCUCCCCCAAGCCAAGUCUCAGUUUUAUUUCCAGCUACCCUAUGGGGAUUUACCUGUGAUUUCAGUUUUCAUAGGAAACAUACUGAUACCUUGUUUUCUUUGCCUGAAUUGUAAUGUAUAAAAGCCUGCUUGAAUUUUCUCAGAUUUGCCCACCAGCUUCCCUUUUUCCUUCACAC
ensembl:lncRNA